GAAUGUCAUGACCAAUACAAGUAACUAUACCCGGUAAAGCGUGGGUCAUUCUCACUUACCCACCACCCUAAAGUUAUGAUAAGGGAUUAAAGAGGAUUAGUGUACACGGGUUAGUGAUUACACUGCUCACCG